AUUGAACGCUGGCGGCAGGCCUAACACAUGCAAGUCGAGCGGAUGAAGAGAGCUUGCUCUCUGAUUUAGCGGCGGACGGGUGAGUAAUGCCUAGGAAUCUGCCUGGUAGUGGGGGAUAACGUCCGGAAACGGGCGCUAAUACCGCAUACGUCCUACGGGAGAAAGCAGGGGACCUUCGGGCCUUGCGCUAUCAGAUGAGCCUAGGUCGGAUUAGCUAGUUGGUGAGGUAAUGGCUCACCAAGGCUACGAUCCGUAACUGGUCUGAGAGGAUGAUCAGUCACACUGGAACUGAGACACGGUCCAGACUCCUACGGGAUGCAGCAGUGGGGAAUAUUGGACAAUGAACGAAAGCCUGAUCCAGCCAUGCCGCGUGUGUGAAGAAGGUCUUCGGAUUGUAAAGCACUUUAAGUUGGGAGGAAGGGCAGUAAGUUAAUACCUUGCUGUUUUGACGUUACCGACAGAAUAAGCACCGGCUAACUUCGUGCCAGCAGCCGCCGUAAGAC
rnacentral:rRNA from 1 species